GACGAACCGCCCGAACGUUAUUCGGAAUCACUGGGCUUAAAGGGUGCGUAGGCGGCGCGGAAACUUGGGUGUGAAAUCCCUCGGCUCAACCGAGGAACUGCGCCCAAAAGUACCGUGCUCGAGGGAGAUAGAGGUGAGCGGAACUUAGGGUGGAGCGGUGAAAUGCGUUGAUAUCCUAAGGAACACCGGUGGCGAAAGCGGCUCACUGGAUCUCUUCUGACGCUGAGGCACGAAAGCUAGGGUAGCGAACGGG
rnacentral:rRNA from 1 species